rnacentral:misc_RNA from 1 species
CACAGCUGAAAAGAGAGCACCAGCAAAUUGUCAGUAAUAAUGCAUGAUUAAAAUUCAUAAUCUAUACAUUAGUCACUACCCUUUAUCUUAUAAUAGUGUAUUAUAGUUUAUCAAAUAUAAAUAGAAAUAUUUACUCUCAAUUUCUAUAACAUACUUUCCACGUAACAGAUGCAGCCAUGUUGUAAUGGAAAAAGACAGCUUUCUAAAACACAUCAGCAGACCUCCACAGGUGUUGCCAAGAAAGUUUACCUUUCAAAUUUUCAGGCAG